CAGCCGCCGCGGUAAAACAAACCGUGCGAACGUUAUUCGGAAUCACUGGGCUUAAAGCGCGUGUAGGCGGGCCGCCACGUCGGCUGCUGAAAUCCCCCGGCUCAACCGGGGAAGUGGCACCGAUACGAGCGGCCUGGAGGGGGGUAGGGGGGACUGGAACUUCCGGUGGAGCGGUGAAUGCGUUGAGAUCGGAAGGAACGCCCGUGGCGAAAGCGAGUCCCUGGACCCUUACUGACGCUGAGACGCGAAAGCCAGGGGAGCGAACGGGAUUAGAUACCCCUGUAGUCCCUGUCUCUUAUAC
rnacentral:rRNA from 1 species